GGUCACCAGGGUGAUCUGGCUGUGACACCUGUCACCCCAUGGUCACCAGAGUUAAACAGCUGAUCUGGCUGCNUAGGAGGGUGUCCCUUUCUUCCCUGUGACCCAUGUGUUUCCUUCCCAAAGCUGAACACUCUGUCAAAGAUGACAACCCCUCCCGGUAGAGGAGGGACAUUCUUCCUCUGGGUACACGAGUAUCUGGGCCACCCUCUUUGACUCUCCAAACAAGCUAGGAAGUAUAUUACGCUGAUUCAUGCCAUGGGCACAGUGCUGCUGUGUCCACAAGC
rnacentral:snRNA from 1 species